rnacentral:rRNA from 1 species
AGGGCACCACCAGGAGUGGAGCCUGCGGCUUAAUUUGACUCAACACGGGAAAACUUACCCGGCCCGGGCACUGGAAGGAUUGACAGAUUGAGAGCUCUUUCUUGAUUCAGUGGGUGGUGGUGCAUGGCCGUUCUUAGUUGGUGGAGCGAUUUGUCUGGUUAAUUCCGAUAACGAACGAGACUCUGGCCUACUAAAUAGACUGUUCAGCUUUAUAGCCGGAAUCACCGGGUGCGUAGCUUUCGGGUUGCGUAUUCGGUUCUGGUGACGCUGGCAGUGCUUCUUAGAGGGACAGGCGGCGGUUCAGCCGCACGAAACAAAGCAAUAACAGGUCUGUGAUGCCCUUAGAUGUCCGGGGCUGCACGCGCGCUACACUGAAGUGAUCAGCGUGCAAUUUACGUUUGGUGAUCUGUCAAGAUUGCCCAACCCGUUGAACCUUCUUCGUGAUUGGGAUAGAGGAUUGUAAUUAUUCCCCUUGAACGAGGAAUUCCCAGUAAGCGCAGGUCAUAAGCUUGCGUUGAU